AACGCACGAGACCUGCGGACCUGCGGAGGGAUCAUUACAGAGUUUUCUAAACUCCCAAACCUUUGUGAACUUACCACUGUUGCCUCGGCGGAAGCUAUUGGGGUUACCCUGUAGCGACCGCCGGUGGACCAACCCAACUCUUGUAAUUUUGAGAAAUCUGAGAGUCUUAUACAAAUAAGUCAAAACUUUCAACAAUGGAUCUCU
rnacentral:misc_RNA from 1 species